rnacentral:lncRNA from 1 species
GAAACAUAAGGCCCAGUGAGAUCUGAGAACACCUUCUUUGAGUCUUGCAUUUGGGUAUUUGAACAUAUUUUAUUUAACACACUAGUAGAAAACAAGAGAGGAAUGUACUUAAGCAAAGGGGACCUGAAGGACCUACUCUAAUAGACACCCUAAGAAGGCUCUGACUCAAGCUCAAAUAACAUUUCCAGGUUCUUCAUGAAUUCUUUUUCUGCAAUUGGCUCAGCAACUGAAUGAAGAGACUUGAUAAGUUCUCACCUUUGAAUGCACACAUCACUCCUGUGGGGUAUGGUGAAAACAGCAUGGACAUUGGCUGGGAACUACCUGAUUGUCAUCUUGGUUCUACACCUGAAUCUCAGAACCUCAUUAUGCUCAACUUGAAUGUGUGGCUCCUGGAUUCCCUUCCAAUCAUUUGUAACACAAGAAGACUUUCCCAAUCUCUGAAGAUUUUCUGUCUUCCGUCUUUCCAUCUGAGAUGCCUUUUCUCCAGCCUCUGAAACCUCUGCAUCCAGGGUCGUGCCUGAAGCCAAAGUCAGGUAUUAAAAACAUUCAGAUGUGAAAGUAAAGAUAUCAUUGAGACUAGGCGGAAGAUCACCUUUUGGGAGCCCCCCAAAAGUUCACUUUAUGUCCUAAGAUAUAAAUGCCACUUUUUUUGUUUGUUUGUUUGUUUCGAGAGGGAGUCUUCCUCUGUCGCCCAGACUGGAGUGCAGUGGCUGGAUCUCAGCUCACUGGAAGCUCCACCUCCCGGAUUUACACCAUUCUCCUGCCUCAGCCUCCCGAGUAGCUGGGACUACAGGUGCCCGCCAUUCUAAAACAUAGAAAAAUGCACUUGUUUAUACACUGUUGGUGGGAGUGUAAAUUGGUUCAACCCUUGUGGAACACAGUAUGGCAAUUCCUCAAAGACCUACAGGCAGAAAUACCAUUUGACCCAGAAAUCCCAUUACUGAGUAUAUAUCCAAAGGACUAUAAAUUGUUCUAUUAUAAAGAUAUGUGUAUGCAUAUGUUUAUUGCAGCACUAUUCACAAUAGCGAAGACAUGAAAUCAACCUAAAUGCCUAUCAAUGUUAGAUUGGAUAAAGAAAAUGUGGUACAUAUACACCAUGGAAUACUAUGCAUCCAUAAAAAGGAAUGAUAUCACGUCCUUUGCAGGGACAUGGAUGGAACUGGAAGCCAUUAUUCUCAGCAACCUAAUGAAGGAACAGAAAACCAAGUACUGUGUGUUCUCACUUAUAGGUGGGAGCUGAAUGAUGAGAACACAUGGACACAUGGAGGGGAACAACACACACUGGCCCCGUCAGAGUGUGGGUGGGGAGGAGGGAGAGCAUCAGGAAGAACAGCUAAUGAAUGCUGGGCUUAAUACCUAGGUGAUGGGAUGAUCUGUGCGGCAAACCACCAUGGCACACCUUUACCUAUGUAACAAACCUGCACAUCCUGCACAUGUAUCCCUGAACUUUAAAAAGAUAAAACAAAAUAAAAUAAGAAAAAUGUGCACCUGUAAUCCCAGCUACUGGGGAGGCUGAGGUAGGAGAACCACUUGAAUCCAGGAGGAGGAGGUUGCAGUGAGCCGAGAUCACACUACUGCACUCCAUACUGGGUUACAGAGGAUGUCUUUAAAAAAAAAAAAAAAGUGAAAGAAUAAUUUGUCCCAGUUGAAAACUGAAAGUGAGAACUUAUUUGUAAAGAGG